rnacentral:rRNA from 1 species
CUUCCGUAGGUGGGAACCUGCGGAGGGAUCAUUA